rnacentral:rRNA from 1 species
CCCGGGCCUUGUACACACCGCCCGUCACGCCAUGGGAGUUGGUUUUACCCGAAGACGGUGCGCCAACCGCAAGGAGGCAGCCGGCCACGGUAGGGUCAGCGACUGGGGUG